rnacentral:piRNA from 1 species
UGGCAAUGACAUGCUUCGUAUGACUUCUC